AGAACGAACGCUGGCGGCAGGCUUAACACAUGCAAGUCGAACGGUUGUAGCAAUACAGCAGUGGCAGACGGGUGAGUAACACGUGGGAACCUUCCUAGGGGUACGGAACAACUCAGGGAAACUUGAGCUAAUACCGUAUACGUCCGUAAGGAGAAAGAUUUAUCGCCCCUAGACGGGCCCGCGUAGGAUUAGGUAGUUGGUGAGGUAACGGCCCACCAAGGCGACGAUCCGUAGCUGGUCUGAGAGGAUGAUCAGCCACACUGGAACUGAGACACGGUCCAGACUCCUACGGGAGGCAGCAGUGGGGAAUAUUGGACAAGUGGGCG
rnacentral:rRNA from 1 species